CUCUCUACAGUACACGGCGCGCGUGCCGCCCCUUCCAUUGCCAUCAGGUGCCUUGUGCGCGAACCUUGCCGGCCAACCGUUAACGUCUGGCGUCCUUUGUGCGCGCCUCUCCUUCCAGUACCUGUCAGGCGCUCCUUCUACCCCGCGCCCUCCCCUGCCGCCAUUGCUUGCAGGACGCUCAGAGUCCAGCUCUCCAGAGUCCAAUGAUCCGAAAAUACCCCGCUGCUCCCAGGAGCGGUUACCUGGGCACUCUGUGCCCUUUGUCCCUGUCCCGGUCCCUUCCCGGGGCCGAGGACCCGCCAGUAGGACUCAGUUUCCUUGAGCCUGCUGCCUGCAUCCCUCACUUGAUUUUGCUUGCGGGAUCUCUCCGUUGCUCCUGCCCCUGGACGGAGUGGCAAGCCUUCCUACAAGUACCCAGACACUUGAAAUCAGCCUGGUGUCGAAACAACUCCAAGGAUUUAUCUUUCAAGCCCUGUGUUCUGUCUGGCCAUCCUGCCUUCAAUUUGAGGCACAGGUACCGCAGCAAGCCAGUGCCCUAAGGACUCUCAGAGAGGCCCUGGAGGAGGUAAUCACCUUUUCUGUGGCCCAGAACAACCAGCUCUACCCCACACUCCCAUCCAGAGAUCAUGUAGAGGACCCUCAUGGAGAGUGGGGCAGGGAUGCCUGAGCAGGACAAGGACCCCAGAGUCCAAGAGAAGCCCGAUAGUCAGAAAGGGGGUCCUGAGGGCACCAGCGAUGCAUGGUCUGCAUGUACACCUGUGUGGGACAUUGGAGGCCUCUCUCCCUUCGUACCCAGGCCUGGGCCUGGGCCCCUGCAGAGAAACCUCCAUACCCAGAGGUCAGAAAUCCCAUCUAACCAGACAUCCCAGCCCUCCGGGAUCUCCAAGCACAAUGCCAUCCACAGCUCCUACAGCUCCACGGGAGGCUUCCCGUGGCUAAAAAGGAGGAAGGGACCAGCCUUAUCCCACUGCCAGCUGCCCCUCACUUCUUCAAAGACAGUGAGUGAGGUCAGCCCUCAGGCUGUCUCUCAGGGUCAGGCCCAGUGUGAAAAGGCAGCAGAUUCAGCACCUGGGGAGAAACCGGCCCCCAGGAGUGGCUCCCCACAUCUCAGGCUUCUAGGCCUCAUAAACGAAAGUUCCGCCUGCUGCCACGCAGGCGAGGGGAGCCUCUGAGGCUGCCAUCUCCCUUACAGCUGGGGCUCCGGGUCACCGCUGAAGACCUGGACCUGGAGAAAAAGGCCGAAAUCAUGUGCCUUAAUAGUGCACUGCAGGGUGAAUAAAAGUCCCUCUGGGAGUGCAGAGCCUCACUGCUGUCCCAUGCUUUGUCCUCACCGGCAACAGGGACAUCUUCUCUGCCUGCUGUCCCUAAAGCAUCCAGCACAGAGGCACAGCAGGAGAGACGCACGUCCCAAGAUAGCCUGGAACCCGUGGCCCUCCAAGCAUCUGCUGCAGGGUCCCCCUCUAGACCUCCUGUGUCUGGGAGAAAGUGCAGGUCAGCAGGCCCCUGUUCUCCUCCUCAGACACCCUUCCUGCCACCUCAGCACAUUCCCAGGUCUCAGCCCAGGUCUCAUCGUCUGCUCCAACACAGCUAGACCAGGGCACCACAGCACACUCAGCCGCAGGGGAUUCCUUACCCACCACUUCCACCUCGAGUUCCCGCACCAAAAGAAAGUCAAUCUGGGCUGCAGACCUGGCUGGGAGCCUUCCUGAUCCAUCUUCUCCCUCUCCCACCACCACUCUGGCUAGACAGAGGGUCAGUGGUCCCACCUCACUACCGAAACUUCCCGUGACCGCUGCAGCCACCACCCAGCCCAAACCUGUGGUCCUUCAUGGACAGCAGCAGGGAACCCGCGGCUUGAAGCAGCCCCAUCCAUCUUCCCAUCCAGCUGCUUCAGCUGUAGCCCAGGCCUCAUCUUCUGCUCCAACACAGCCAGCCCAGGGCACCACAGCACACUCAGCUGCAGGGGUUUCCUUACCCACCACUUCCACCUGGAGCCUGGCUGGGACCCGUUCUAACCCAUCUUCUGCCUCUCUCAUGACCGCCCUGGCCAGACUUAUGAUCAGUGGUCCCACCUCACUACCAAAACUAGCUGUGACCGCUGCAGCCACCACCCAGUCCAAACCUGUGGUCCUUCAUGAACAGCAGCAGGGAACCAGUGGCUUGAAGUGGCCUCACCAUCUUCCCAUCCAGCUGCUUCAGCUGCAGCCCAGACCUCAUCUUCUGCUCCAACACAGCCAGCCCAGGGCACCACAGCGCCCUCAGCUGCAGGGGUUUCCUUACCCACCUGGAGCCUGGCUGGGACACUUUCUAACCCAUCUUCUGCCUCUCUCAUCACCACCCAGGCCAGACUGACGAUCAGUGGUCCCAUCUCACUACCAAAAGUUGCCGUGACUGUUGCAGCCACCACCCAGCCCAAACCUGUGGUCCUUCACGAACAGCAGCAGGGAACCUGCUCCUUGAAGCAGCCUCAUCCAUCUUCCCAUCCAGCUGCUUCAGCUGCAGCCCUGGCCUCAUCUUCUGCUCCAACACAGCCAGCCCAGGGCACCACGGCACCCUCAGCUGCAGGGGCUUCUUUACCCACCACUUCCACCUGGAGCCUGGCUGGGACCCAUUCUAAGCCAUCUUCUGCCUCUCUCAUGACUACCCUGGCCAGACUUAUGAUCAGUGGUCCCACCUCAGUACUGAAACUGCCCGUGACCGCUGCAGCCACCACCCAGCCUAAACCUGUGGUCCUUCAUGGAUAGCAGCAGGGAACCCGUGGCUUGAAGUGGGCUCAUUUGUAUUCAGAUCCAGCUGCUUUAGCCUUGAGCCCCUUCACCAAAAGAAAGUUGACCUGGGCUGCAGGCCUGGCUGGGACCUGUUCUAACCCAUCUUCUGCCUCUCUCAUCACCGCCCUGGCCAGACUGACUAUCAGUGGUCCCACAUCAGUACUGAAACUUGCCGUGACCGCUGCAGCCACCACCCAACCCAAACCUGUGGUCCUUCAUGGACAGCAGCAGGGAACCCAUGGCUUGAAGCGGGCUCGUCCGUAUUCAGAUCCAGCUGCUUUAGCCUUGAGACCCCACCACCCGACCAAAAGAAAGUUGACCUGGGCUGCAGGCCUAGCUGGCACCCUUUCUAACCCAUCUUCUGCCUCUCUCAUCACCCCCCUGGCAAGACCGAGGGUCAGUGGUCACACCUCACUAUGGAAACUUGCUGUUAUGGCUGCAGCCAUCACUCAGCCCAAACCUGUGGUCCUUCAUGGACAGCAGCAGGGAACCCGCACCUUGAGGCGGGUUCGUCCAUAUUCCCGUCCAGCUGCUUCAACUGCAGCCCAAGCCUCAUCUUCUGCUCCAAGACAGCCAGUCCAGGGCACCACAGCACACUCAGCCACAGGGGUUUCCUUACCCACCACUUCCACCUCGAGCCUGGCUGGGACCCUUUCUAACCCUUCUUCUUCCUCUCCUCAUGAUGCACAUGCUGCCUCCUCAGACUGUACACCUGCCAAAGUUAGACAGCUCCGCUAAACAAGAUCCGAAAAAGUUUUCUCUAGAUUUCCUUCUAAUAUUUUUCUAGUUUCGUAUCUUGCGUUCAAGUCUCAGAUCUAUCUGGAGGUCAUGUUUGUAUACGGUGAGAUAAAAAGUGUCCACUUUCAUUCUUCUGCAUGUGGUUAUCCAGCCCUCCCAGUACCAUUCACUGAAGAUGGUGUCCUUUCCCCAGUGUGUGUUUCUGUCAGCUGUGUCGAAGAUCAAUUGGCUGUGAAUAUGUGGCUGUCUUUCUGGGCUCCGUCAUGUGUCCCAUUGAUCUAUGUGUCUAUUUUCCUCCUAGCACCAUGUUGUUUUAGUUACCAUGCACUUGUCAAAAACUUUGUCUUUCUAAUUUGUAGUGAAAUGGAAUGCCUCCAAUUUUUUUCUAUUUGCUGAGGAAGGCUUUGACUCUUUGAGCUCUUUUUUUGGUUCCAUAUGAAUUGUAUGAUUUUCCAAUUCCCUGAGUGAUGACACUGGUGUUUUGGCAGGGGUUGUAUGGACUCUCUAGGCUGCUUUGGGCAGUACAGUCAUUUUAAUGCUACGAGUUUCUUCCAUCCAUUAGCAUGGGAUGAUUGUCCAUUUCUUUCUGUCUUAUUGAAAAUUUUCAUCAGCGUUUUGCAGUUUUUCUUGUAGAAAUCUUCAAACUCCUUGUCAAAUUUAUUCUGUGGCAUAUCUUUUUUCAUUUUUUUGCUACUGUAAAUGGGACUGCCUUCUUAAUUUCCUUCCCAAUAGACCAUUAUUGGUGUAUAGAAAUGCUGCUGAUUUUGGUACAUUCAUUCUGUAUCCUGCAAUAACUGUUUUUAUUUAUUGAUCAACUCUAGGGGUUUUCUGGUGGAACCUUUAUAUGUUUCUAAAUCCAAGAUCAUAUCUUCAUCAGAUAAGGAUAAUUUGCUGUCCUCUUUUCCAAUGUGUCUGGCUUUUAUUUUUUCCUCUUGCCUGAUUGUGUGAUGCUGAACAGCAGUGGUGAGAAUGGGCAUCCUUGUGUUGUUCCUGUUUACAGAGGAAAUGCUUUCAACGUUUCCUCAUUAUGUAGUCGGUUAGGCAUGGCUUUGUCAUAAACAGCUUUGAUUAUUUUCAGGUAUGUUGGUUGUUUUUUUCUUUUUUAGAUGAAGUCUUGUUCUUUUCACCCAGGCUGCAGUGCAAUGGCGGGAUCUCAGCUCACUGCAACCUCCGUCUCCCAGGUUCCAGCAAUUCUCCUGCCUCAGAGUCCCGAGUAGCUGGGAUUACAGGACAUGGCCUCACUCUGUCUUUCAUGUUGGAGUGCAGCGGCAACAUCAGAGCUACAGCUUUGAACUCCUGAGCUCCAGCCACCUCAGCCUCCCGAGUAGCUGGGACUCUGGGUGCAUGUCACCAGAGCUGGAGAUGGGGCUUGCUGCAUUGUCCAGACUGGUCUCAAACACCUGGGUUCAGUUAUCCUGCGCGGUCUCUCAAAGUGCUGGGAUUACAGGCAUGAGCCUCCACACCCAAACACUUGGGGUGGUUUUCAGCCCCCAGUAAGGUGCACCAGCAGGACCAAGAGGUGGCCUGGGCCUCCCCAACACUCUCAUCCAUGCAGA